rnacentral:rRNA from 1 species
AAUGAACGCUGGCGGCGCGCCUAAUACAUGCAAGUCGAGCGAGAAGACGUAGCAAUACGUUUGUAAAGCGGCGAACGGGUGAGGAAUACAUGGGUAACCUACCCUCGAGUGGGGAAUAACUAGCCGAAAGGUUAGCUAAUACCGCGUACGCUUCUUGGACUUCGGUUCAGGGAGGAAAGCGAUGCCGAGGGUAUCGCGCUCUUGGAUGGGCUCAUGUCCUAUCAGCUUGUGGUGAGGUAACGGCUCACCAAGGCUUCGACGGGUAGCUGGUCUGAGAGGACGAUCAGCCACACUGGCACUGCGACACGGGCCAGACUCCUACGGGAGGCAGCAGUAGGGAAUCUUGCGCAAUGGGCGAAAGCCUGACGCAGCAACGCCGCGUGGGGGA